rnacentral:rRNA from 1 species
UACAGAGGGGGCAAGCGUUAUUCGGAAUUAUUGGGCGUAAAGGGCGCGUAGGCGGCUUGGCAAGUGGAAGGUGAAAUCCCUCGGCUUAACCGAGGAACUGCCCUCCAAACUGCUUGGUUUGAGACCGGGAGAGGUGAGUGGAAUUCCCAGUGUAGCGGUGAAAUGCGCAGAUAUCAGGAGGAACACCGGUGGCGAAGGCGGGUCUCUGGGCCGAUACUGACGCUGAGGAGCGAAAGCGUGGGGAGCGAACAGG